UAUCCUGAGCGGGGGUUGGGCCAAACUUAAUAACCUAGCCAGAUCUGCGGGAUGUGGAGGAUGUAGUUAGGUGUGGCGGUUUGGAGCUAUAUUCUUAACGACGGUUUGUCUCCAAGAGCCUUGGAAUGUUUGUGAGAAUAAAUCGAACGAAUAGAUACUGCAAUAACUCCAUCGGCCGGUUUUGGUUCGGAUAAUCAAGCUGCUCAAGGUUUUCCAAAGGGCUGUAUCUGGUCUGUAUUGUGCUUUUUGAUGUAGACUACUGUGCACCUGUAUAUUAACAUAGGUUUUGUCCGCCGGAGUCCCUCAGUACCCCUAAGCUAAAGGUCUUCAUCAUGGUCAUCG
rnacentral:sRNA from 1 species